rnacentral:rRNA from 1 species
GACGAACCGUGCGAACGUUGUUCGGAUUCACUGGGCUUAAAGGGCGCGUAGGCGGGCUGCCAAGUCAGUGGUGAAAUCUUUCGGCUCAACCGGAAAAGUGCCCCUGAUACUGGUAGUCUCGAGGGAGGUAGGGGCAUGUGGAACUUCCGGUGGAGCGGUGAAAUGCGUAGAUAUCGGAAGGAACGCCGGUGGCGAAAGCGACGUGCUGGACCUCUUCUAACGCUGAGGCGCGAAAGCCAGGGGAGCGAACGGG